AGAAUUUUCAUUUUCUAAGUUUUUUUUUUGUUCUACAACAAAAUGGGAUGUGAAUUUUUUUUUUCCUUUUGGAUUCCCGCUUUCAAUCAUUUAAGGAAAUUAAGAAAAACCAUCUUCCUAAACCCAAGAUCUCUCAAAAAAAAUCCCUAGCUCACCAAGAACCCAGAAAACCUCCCACUAUCUCUCAAAAAAAACCCAACUCACCAAGAACCCAGAAAACCUAACUUCAAUUCACAGAGCUCAAACACCGCUUCUCCAUCGCUAAUUCUUCUGCGUCGUCAAUUUCUUCUCCAUCUCUAAUUUCUUCUACUUUUGUAGUUGAUUGGAACUUCCGCCGCUAACGCAACCACCAUCUCCACCACCACGUACAACCACCGUCUCCCCUACCAUGUACAACCACCGUUCUGUCGCCAGUUCUUCAGCUCUUGUGAUUUUAGGUAAUUGUUCUUCACCUCUUCUUACCCUUUUCCCCUUUUUAUAAUUUUACAAUUUUCUAUCCCGACAUUAUAAAUUAUAACUUAGUUUAUAAUUGUCAUAAGGAGCCUGUUUUAUCAGUUUAGCAAAUUUUCCUGUAAGAUCGACAAACUUAUUUUCAAUGAAUAAUUUGUGUUUGAUUGAUAAUUUGGUUGAUAUUUCAUCUGGGGUCAUAUUGUUAUUUGCAACUAAUCGAAUGAUGGUAGUACAAUAUUUUGUUGCAAUUAAUUGAAUUAUUGAGUAGAGAAUUUAAAUACGAAGUAUAAAAUUAAAUCUUGAAGCCUUGGUCCAUACUUCAUAAUCAAUAAAAAACGAAUUGUGGUGUUUCUUGUGUGUGAGGUUGGCUGGUUUCUUGGUUACCUAGAAAGGUGGGAACUUCUUCAGUAAUAUAUAAACAGACCCAAAAUAAAUAAGAACAUUUUUCUGUCAAACAACAACCUUUUUUUAUCUACACCAAACUACCUUAGCAAUUAGCAUCCCGCCCUAAGCGGGGUAUAUGGUAUGAUUUCAGGUGAUUUUGAAUUUUCUAAUGUGCACUGUGAGUCUGUGACACAGUCUUAAGCUCUAAACUCAUAGUUUCUGAAAUCUCCACAAGAGAAAAUGUUUAUACAAGAGCAAUGGUAGUUAAUUUAGUAGGGAAAAUUUAGUGGGAACAACUGACCAGUUGAAUUUGCAAUGGCUGAUAAGAUGAUAAGGGAAUGAGGGUAACUGAAAGCAUAAUUGAGAAUAAAUAAAUCAUAAGGUUGACUAAGUUGUGUUGGUUUCAGUCAGUCUGCUCUUGUUGGUUGUUAACCUUAGGUGACUAGGUGGCUGUUGAAAGCUUUGCCACCUAGCAGCAAAGUCAUGCUUAAGAAUCUGCAGAAUAUAAACUAAUUAGCUUCCAUAAAACAGAAAGUACAAAUGGGAGGAACCAUUCAAUCGUCAUCCUAGAUAAUUUCCAAUAAAAUGAACCCCCACUCAUAUAUUAAAAUCCCUUUCCAGCAACAGAACGUAACUGACAAACAAAAGAUAGUGAAGGGAUUUACGAACUAAACCACAAGACUAAGGGGUUACAGAAAAAAGUCCUGUUAAAAGUGAUCACCCUAAACAUGACAAGAAUAUUAUUAAAGAGAAAUUCUUUAAGAAACCACCACCCAAAUAUCUAUUCUUAUGUAUGUUGUUAGUCAGAACAACAACUAUAAUUUUUUUUUAAAGUAGCAUGUAACAAUUCUCAAAACUCGUCUGCAGAACAUACUUACAUUGCAGGUUAUACAAUUGUCUCCACACAGUAUAAUGUUAACUUUGAAAUAUUGAACGAAGUAAUCAGAACCAUGAAAGGAAUUCAAAAUCACAAAGGAAACUCCUAGCCAUCAAAAGUCACUCUUCACUUUAUUCCAUGUGGACAAUAGUUACCCAGGGCAUGAGACUGAAAACCAUUAACAAUCUUUAACAUAGAAUCAAUCAUAUCUGAACCAGUAUGACGUUUAAAUUGUUGACAUAUAACCUUUCCUGCCUAAAAGAAGCCCUGUCUCUUGAAAGCUUUCAUGUUAAAAAAAUAAAUGAAUUCUAAUCAGUGAUUAUUAAGUCAAAAAGCACCAAGAACAAAGACAAUAACUAGAAGCUUAGAAAGCUACCAAUGAAAUAAGUGGAUAAUUAAAAAAUAAAACAGCUGAAUAUAGCAAAUAAAUGUGUCAUCAACACCUGACCAAUAACAUCAGAGAUAUAAUUUUUCUUUCCGUCCCGCUGUUCAACAGGCAAUGCAUUCCAUCGGUAUUUAAUUACACCUUCCAAAACCUGGAAGAAUACAGAUAGGACAAGAUUCUUAGAUUUAAGAAUAUAAAUCCAGACAUCAUAUACCAAAACAAGGGUUUAACAGAAAAAAAAAUUAUAACAGAGUUACAGCUUAUCAAGUUAAGUUAAGAAGAAAAUUUAUAGUUUGUAUGAUGUGAAGACCUGCAGAACCACCUGAACUCAGUGCAAUAAAAAUGACGUUAACAAUGACGUUAUAAUUUUCAACAUGAACACAAUAUCUUCUGUUGAGCGCAAUCCUAACACCACAUUGCACUUCUGUUGAAACAGUCGGGCAAAAAAAAUCAUAGGUAAUCACCCACUGUUGUGUUGAGGUUAGAAUAUUGCGUAUAGUCAGACCUCAAAAUAUUCCGCGUAAUCAGACCUCAGAAUACUGCAUAUUAUCAGACCUCGUACUAGGGGGACAUGUUGUCAUGUAUUGUUGUUGGCCUUCAGACCCUUAAUAAUCAAUGAGAAGGUAUGCACUCAGUUUCAUUCUCUAAAAUCUUCACUACAGUAGAUAAUAUAAGCCUUCUUGUUGCAUCUGUGUACGGAUCAGUCGUUUUUGCUCGAGGGAUGCGGCGGCCAUGGCAGUAGUAUGAAACUACGCCUCACUUGAACUCAAACCUUUCAUCGAAGAGAGUUCUGUGAGCAAAUUUGGUAUGAAAUUGUUGAUUGAUUAUCUCCGAGAUGACUUGUGAGAGUCUAAACCCACCUGAGGGUGAUAAAGAACCAUUUUAGGAGGUUGAUCCGACUGGCUGGUUUGGCCGAUAUCCUGACCUUCUUGGAGCUAGAGCUGUGAAGACUGCAGAUCUGUUCUCACUCCCACACGUAAUAGAAAACACUGCAGAUUUGUUCUCACUCCCAGCACCCCGGCCACUAGAAAGUACUUUCCUCAAGUUCCUGCCACUUAUUCUCAAGCGAUGAUUGACGAAACACGGGAUACUUUGGUUACAUACUUUUUCAAGCAAAGAUUGAUGAAGAUGAAGAAAAUGAUAUGCUCGACGUUGAUCAUGAAUGACCUUUUUAGCUAGUACAUAUUGAAACUUUCUAACAAAUGUUUUGGGAAUCUCGUAGCAAGUUAAUACAUUUGAAGUACUUUUUUAGAUUUGAACUUGUGAUUAGAGUUUGGAGAAUGUUAUAUUACAUUAGUUUUAUUUACUCUAUUGCUUUGGAGAACAAGAAGUUGGUAUAUUGGUCGGUUUGGAGAAUUUUUAUGCAUAUAAUAUAGAGUUGAUGGAUUAUUAAUUACCAUAA